GAAGUGCCUCAUCCUCUUUGGUUUUUGGCUUGCAUGGUAGAAGGCCGAUCUUGUCCACUUCGAAAAUUUGGAAGAAAACAGAAUCAAACCUUAUGUGUAACAUCGGGCUGGAAACUGUUUGCUGAGAGAUGUCUGCAACAGCCAUACUUCUGUUUAUCCAUCUUUAAUAUAAUAUACAAGAUCUGUGCUCGGCAUCAUUUGAGAUCAACUUUAUUGAACAAAGGAGGUUGAUAAUUGCCUUUCAUUGCACCUGGUUGGUACCAAAAGUACGUAGUUAUCACCAAAAAGGAGAUUAGCUAUGACAGAACUUCCUUUUAUUAUGGCUUCCUUAGAAAUAGAGGAUAAUCAGGCUUCAUCUGUUAAAGAAAGGAACACUAGAACUGAGACUGUUUGUGCAGUUGCCUAUCGGAUGUUAAGAAAACGGGUCCAAGGUACAUGCAAGCCAUAUGAAUCAUCAAAACGAAGAUGCAAUUUAAGGCCAACAAAACUUACUAAAUUGCAAGAAACUGAUGAUGCAAAAAGUUAUUUCAUCAGUAAGAAAUUUUGUUCCCUGAAAGUCAAAACCUUGGCUACAAUAUAUGAAGAGCCGAAAGUCCAAAGAAACGGAACAGUGGUUCACACUGGGCCAACCAAGAUGCGGAAAAUAAAUUUCAGCAGUGUUAGUAAAGACAAGAUCAGGAAGAGGAAAGCAAAGGUGAAGAAAGUUGUUAGUCAUAAAGGUCCUAAGAAAGGCAAAAUGUCAAUGGAAGAAUUUCUUUCAAGACUCCAAGGACUCAUGGGUACUCCAUCCAGUGUUGACAGUGAAAAAAGUGUUGUAGCUUCACUAGUGUGAAAUGGAAUGAAUAUUUCAGUCAAAUCUCUUCUAUCUGUUUAUUCAAAACAAAGAAAGAGAAGAAAGGAUCUGUAAUCAUGCGAUGUUUUAUUAGCAGAAGUUUUUGGUAGAAAAAUUAAGUCUUAUAUUUUGCAUGUGUUUGAGAUUAGGGUGUUGAGGAGGAUAUU